GUAACAAGGUUUCUGUAGGUGAACCUGCGGAAGGAUCAUUG
rnacentral:rRNA from 1 species